AGUGAACGCUGGCGGUAGGCCUAACACAUACAAGUCGAACGGCAGCACAGUAAGAGCUUGCUCUUACGGGUGGCGAGUGGCGGACGGGUGAGGAAUACAUCGGAAUCUACUUUUUCGUGGGGGAUAACGUAGGGAAACUUACGCUAAUACCGCAUACGACCUACGGGUGAAAGCAGGGGAUCUUCGGACCUUGCGCGAUUGAAUGAGCCGAUGUCGGAUUAGCUAGUUGGCGGGGUAAAGGCCCACCAAGGCGACGUUCCGUAGCUGGUCUGAGAGGAUGAUCAGCCACACUGGAACUGAGACACGGUCCAGACUCCUACGGGAGGCAGCAGUGGGGAAUAUUGGACAAUGGGCGCAAGCCUGAUCCAGCCAUACCGCGUGGGUGAAGAAGGCCUUCGGGUUGUAAAGCCCUUUUGUUGGGAAAGAAAAGCAGCAGGUUAAUACCCCGCUGUUCUGACGGUACCCAAAGAAUAAGCACCGGCUAACUUCGUG
rnacentral:rRNA from 1 species